rnacentral:lncRNA from 1 species
GGUGACCCGCAGGGCAUGCAAUCAAUACAUUCAAAAAACAAAAAAAAAACUUUAACCGGGCAGUGCCCUUGGCAGAUUUACGAGGUGGGCCCUCCUUUUAACGCAUUUUCUUAAUUAAAUUACAAACCACGAACCAAAUUCAUGUUUUUGUUUUGGAAGUAUGUGAGUGAAAAAUGCAUGAUUAGUGAGAGAUAAGUAAGAUUAACGUACUAGUUAGUGGGCCUCACGUGCUCGUGUUUAUGUGUGUCUUCCUUUUGCUAAAUUUAAUUGUUCUUUUUUAAUGAGCUUUGUCUUGUAAUAAUUGUCACGGGAGAGUAGGAUGUGCAAUUAAGAAUGAAUGGGUUUUCUUUCGGACCUAAACAAAUGAGAAUGGAUGAACGUGGGCAAUUGGGAAGAUCGUAAAAAAAGGGAGACAUAGGCGAAUAUUUUUGCUUGUUAUUCUUGUAGAAAAUUAUAAACUCUACUUUGAAAAUUAUAUAUAUAGAAACCUCAAACGCUAGCUCGUUAGUAAAAAAAUAUGAGGUUAUCCAAUCGUUUAAGCUCCUCAUGAUAUCAUCUCAUAAUUCGAUUUGUUUAUUUUUUGUGUCAUUAGUCAAAGAUCAUCUUUACAAAAACUUAGUAAAAAAGAUAUACAUCACAUGUAAUCCCCUUAAGAAUAGCAGCUUUAAAAGCACGAAAACGAAACAUAUAAAAUUUACUCUCGAUUUAGCAUCCGUGUUAUAUGUGUGAGUUUAGUGUAUUAUUGCUCUUCUCAAUACGAAAAGUGCUUUAAAAAAAAAGAAAAAAAAAG